rnacentral:rRNA from 1 species
UACGGAGGGUGCAAGCGUUAUCCGGAUUCACUGGGCUUAAAGGGUGCGUAGGCGGCUUAGAAAGUCCGUUGUGAAAUCUCUGAGCUUAACUCGGAAAUUGCGGUGGAUACUAUUAGUCUUGAAUACUGUGGAGGUUAGCGGAAUAUGUCAUGUAGCGGUGAAAUGCAUAGAUAUGACAUAGAACACCAAUUGCGAAGGCAGCUGGCUACACAGAUAUUGACGCUGAGGCACGAAAGCGUGGGGAUCAAACAGG